rnacentral:rRNA from 1 species
AUAUCAAUAAGCGGAGGAAAAGAAACCAACAGGGAUUCCCCUAGUAACGGCGAGUGAAGCGGGAACAGCUCAAAUUUGAAAGCUGGCCUUCUGGUCCGCAUUGUAAUUUGUAGAGGAUGCUUUUGGCGCGGUGCCUUCUGAGUUCCUUGGAACAGGACGCCUUAGAGGGUGAGAGCCCCGUACAGUUGGACACCUAGCCUUUGUAAAGCUCCUUCGACGAGUCGAGUAGUUUGGGAAUGCUGCUCUAAAUGGGAGGUAAAUUUCUUCUAAAGCUAAAUACCGGCCAGAGACCGAUAGCGCACAAGUAGAGUGAUCGAAAGAUGAAAAGCACUUUGAAAAGAGGGUUAAAUAGCACGUGAAAUUGUUGAAAGGGAAGCGCUUAUGACCAGACUUUUUCCUGGCGAAUCAUCCGGCGUUCUCGCCGGUGCACUUCGUCAGGUUUAGGCCAACAUCGAUUUCCGCCGGGGGAUAAAGGCUUCGGGAAUGUGACUCCCCACGGGGAGUGUUAUAGCCCGUUGCGUAAUACCCUGGCGGGGAUCGAGGUUCGCGCUUCGGCAAGGAUGUUGGCAUAAUGGUCAUCAGUGACCCGUCUUGAAACACGGACCAAGGAGUCGAACAUUUGUGCGAGUGUUUGGGUGUUAAACCCUCACGCGUAAUGAAAGUGAACGGAGGUGAGAGCCUUAGGGUGCAUCAUCGACCGAUCCUGAUGUCUUCGGAUGGAUUUGAGUAAGAGCAUAAAUGUUCGGACCCGAAAGAUGGUGAACUAUGCGUGGAUAGGGUGAAGCCAGAGGAAACUCUGGUGGAGGCUCGCAGCGGUUCUGACGUGCAAAUCGAUCGUCAAAUCUGCGCAUGGGGCGAAAGACUAAUCGAA